rnacentral:lncRNA from 1 species
UUGUCCGUAUUUGCUAUGUGUUAUUGGCACCUUCUGCCAGGGCACUGAGAUGCAGGAUAAUGCAUGAUGGCUACUGGGUUUAAAAAAAUGUAGUAUUAAGUAGUACCAACUUUAGUAGUUUACUGUAGCCAAGCCUCUACAUGCUCACAGAGUGGUCAAACAAAAUGAUUUGUAAAAGUCUGUGAAUUUCAGAAUGGCCUGAUCACCACCCCUUAUAAUGUAGAUAUUGUUGGGACCUGUGUUGCUUCUGUAACUCAGAGACACAUCCGCUUCUUCCUGCAGUAUGAAAAUGUCGUAAACUCUACAAGCAUUGUCAGAUGCUAGUUAAGGCAGAGUGUGAUAGCGCAAUGUACAUUUGUGGGGCUUAAAGCAUGAUGUAGGUUGAUUUUUGAUUCUCCUUUUGCAGUGGGUCCUGCAGCCCCAUAUCUUGAUCCUGACAGACAUGUUGCAUCGUUCCACAACCCUUCCUGCAUGUGAAUCAGAUAUUGUGUGCAGACCUGGAUGGCAUGUAAAAUAGUUAUUAACACAGAGUGUUUUUGAAAUGCAAAAUGGGAUGGAAGAGAAGAGAGCUACUUAAGAAGAAAUCUCAUAAUCUUGUUAUCCAUGGCAUUUCUAAGAGGAUAACAGGGUUUGGUGGAGUAAUUAUUUAUUUAUUCAAAGAAGAGUGAUAAACACCCASAGAGAAUGAUGUUUCCAAGUCCUCAAUUGCUGGAGAUGCUUUGAUCUUGACUGUAGAGAACAGCUUGGACUGGACAGCUGAAGUUAGGGAAGGCAAACUCCAUUCUCAGUGACAUGGGCAAACCCACUGGAGAAGUCUGGGCAUAGUUAAAAAAUGGAAGCAAAUGUCCAAAAUCCAAUGCCUUAACUGCAAUGCUGUUCUUUAUCUUUAAAGAGGAAUUUUAGGUGACAAAGAAGGAUGGAAGAAGGGAAGCUUCCUGCUGAGGCAAAGCUGAGGGUCAUCACUGUAGAUCUGCAGAUGAUUCCUG